AUGACUCUCGGCAACGGAUAUCUCGGCUCUUGCAUCGAUGAAGAACGUAACGAAAUGCAAUACUUGGUGUGAAUUGCAGAAUCCCGUGAACCAUCGAGUCUUUGAACGCAAGUUGCGCCCGAAGCCAUUAGGCCGAGGGCACGCCUGCCUGGGUGUCA
rnacentral:rRNA from 1 species